rnacentral:rRNA from 1 species
UNCCAUGUGUAGCGGUGAAAUGCGUAGAUAUAUGGAGGAACNCCAGUGGCGAAAGCGGCUCUCUGGUCUGUCACUGACGCUGAGGCUCGAAAGCGUGGGUAGCGAACAGGAUUAGAUACCCUGGUAGUNCACGCCGUAAACGAUGAGUGCUAGGUGUUAGGCCCUUUCCGGGGCUUAGUGCCGGAGCUAACGCAAUAAGCACUCCGCCUGGGGAGUACGACCGCAAGGUUGAAACUCAAAGGAAUUGACGGGGGCCCGCACAAGCGGUGGAGCAUGUGGUUUAAUUCGAAGCAACGCGAAGAACCUUACCAGGUCUUGACAUCCCGAUGCUAUUCUUAGAGAUAGGAAGUUACUUCGGUACAUCGGAGACAGGUGGUGCAUGGUUGUCGUCAGCUCGUGUCGUGAGAUGUUGGGUUAAGUCCCGCAACGAGCGCAACCCUUAUUGUUAGUUGCCAUCAUUAAGUUGGGCACUCUAGCGAGACUGCCGGUAAUAAACCGGAGGAAGGUGGGGAUGACGUCAAAUCAUCAUGCCCCUUAUGACCUGGGCUACACACGUGCUACAAUGGUCGGUACAACGAGUUGCGAGCCGGUGACGGCAAGCUAAUCUCUGAAAGCCGAUCUCAGUUCGGAUUGGAGGCUGCAACUCGCCUCCAUGAAGUCGGAAUCGCUAGUAAUCGCGGAUCAGCACGCCGCGGUGAAUACGUUCCCGGGCCUUGUACACACCGCCCGUCACACCACGAGAGUUUGUAACACC